rnacentral:rRNA from 1 species
UACGUAGGGGGCGAGCGUUAUCCGGAUUCACUGGGUGUAAAGGGAGCGUAGACGGCCAUGCAAGCCAGGGGUGAAAGCCCGGGGCCCAACCCCGGGACUGCCCUUGGAACUGCAUGGCUGGAGUGCGGGAGGGGCAGGCGGAAUUCCUGGUGUAGCGGUGAAAUGCGUAGAUAUCAGGAGGAACACCGGCGGCGAAGGCGGCCUGCUGGACCGCGACUGACGUUGAGGCUCGAAAGCGUGGGGAGCGA